GGAGGAAACAAGAUGGCGAAGGCAAUCCCCUAGGCAUUGCACUGACGUUCAUGCACGACAGCGUGGGGAGCAAACCGGAUUAGAUACCCUGGUAGUCACACGCCCUAAACGAUGUCAACUGGUUGUUGGGAAUUAGUUUUCUCAGUAACGAAGCUAACGCGUGAAGUUGACCGCCUGGGGAGUACGGCCGCAAGGUUGAAACUCAAAGGGAUUGACGGGGACCCGCACAAGCGGUGGAUGAUGUGGUUUAAUUCGAUGCAACGCGAAAAGCCUUACCCACCUGUGACAUGUACGGAAUCCCUGAGAGAUAGAGGAGUGCUCGAAAGAGAGCCGUAACACAGGUGCUGCAUGGCUGUCGUCAGCUCGUGUCGUGAGAUGUUGGGUUAAGUCCCGCAACGAGCGCAACCCUUGCCAUUAGUUGCUACGAAAGGGCACUCUAAUGGGACUGCCGGUGACAAGCCGGAGGAAGGUGGGGAUGACGUCAAGUCCUCAUGGCCCUCAUAGGUGGGGCUACACACGUCAUUACAUACGACUCUACAUUUGGCGAACAGAAUCGAGCGGCCGAGAAUUCGCCCAAGGCCGUUCAGGUCAAUCAGGCUCGUGCACAUAUUCCCAGUUUGGAGUAUCAAGAUAUCUUGUAGU
rnacentral:rRNA from 1 species